UACGUAGGGUGCAAGCGUUUGUCCGGAAUUAUUGGGCGUAAAGAGCGUGUAGGCGGCCCCCAUUAGUCCGCUGUGAAAGUCCAGGGCUCAACCCUGGAAUGCCGGUGGAUACUGUGGGGCUAGAGUCCGGAAGGGGCGAGUGGAAUUCCUGGUGUAGCGGUGAAAUGCGCAGAUAUCAGGAGGAACACCAAUGGCGAAGGCAGCUCGCUGGGACGUGACUGACGCUGAGACGCGAAAGCGUGGGGGAGCAAACAGG
rnacentral:rRNA from 1 species